ACGGAAGGCAGCAGUGAGGAAUAUUGGUCAAUGGGCGGAAGCCUGAACCAGCCAAGUCGCGUGAAGGAUGAAGGUAUUAUGUAUUGUAAACUUCUUUAGCAGCAGAGUAAUAAGGGGGUCGUGACCCCCGAUGCAAGUAUGCUGAAAAUAAGGAUCGGCUAACUCCGUGCCAGCAGCCGCGGUAAUACGGAGGAUCCGAGCGUUAUCCGGAUUUAUUGGGUUUAAAGGGUGCGCAGGCGGUUUUUUAAGUCAGUGGUUAAAUCGUGAGGCUCAACCUCAUCACGCCAUUGAUACUGGAAGACUUGAUUGCGGUUGAGGUUGGCGGAAUUCGUCGUGUAGCGGUGAAAUGCGUAGAUAUGACGAAGAACACCGAUUGCGUAGGCAGCUGACCAAGCCGUAAAUGACGCUCAUGCACGAAAGUGCGGGGAUCGAACAGGAUUAGAUACCCUGGUA
rnacentral:rRNA from 1 species